UAAAAAUGGUUUGUCACGUUUGAUGUACGUAUUCAACGAUAAAAAUUAGAAUUUUUCCUAAGCGUCGAGUUUAUCUCGUCAAAGAAACUUCACAUUUAGGAAUCAAGAGAGCGAAAAAUGUGCGAUUAAAUUGUCGGCAACGGUGGCCAGCUAAAUGUGACAAUUAUACGGUGGAAAAUUAUACGAUAGUUUGGUACGCCGCCGGUAGCACACCUCCGAGCCUAUCCGCGAAAUUUACUGGACGAAAAUUAUUACGGGUGAAUGCUUACGGUAGACAAUUCUAGCUUUCUACUUUGGCGAUUCAAUUUCGUGCCACUUGAAAAGAAACUCGUGAACAUGAGAAGAAAGAGAGAAGAGUCUCAUCCCUUCCCAAAAGUCAAAGUUGUCUCAACGCCGGAAAAUGUCUUUUGAGAAGGACGAGGUCGAGGACGAUCUCAAAGCUUGGUUCCAAGUUUCAAACGACCGACUUUGCCCAACGUCGAUCGCGGGGCUAAGAGAUCGUGCCGUUUUAAAGGCAAAGGAGGACACGAGAAAGUUUUUGAAUGGUUUUCAUCGUCGUUCCAUUCUCCGACUGCUUAUAGAGAAGUGUGAAAUCAAAACUAUUGAUCUACUUUCCGGUUUAUCACGAAACGAAGAAUAAGAUUGACUGCCAAGAGAGCUACUGAAGCGGUCUGGUGGUGUUGGUGAUGGUGGUAGUGAGAAGAGCUUUCUGAGAGGGUGGUAAGAUACGCGCGAGCACAUACUCGGUGGAUGGAAAACGAACGAGAGGGUAAACCCCUGCUGGAAUCACCCAUUCCACUCUUUCUCCUCCUUCUCCAACCUUCUCUACCUCUUCGACCAGUUUUGAAUGCGGGACACAAGGAACCUCGGCGAUGUUCAAUGGCAAAAUUAUGCGAGUAGAACCUUACGGACGAAACGAGAUGCGUCACGGAAAGUUCUUUAGACUCCGAGCGUUCGUCGGGCGAUUAGCAAUUCGGCAGAUGUUCUUGGAAGUUUGAGCACAGAUCGAGGUCGAUGACUUACCUAAUUAACAUAUCCCGUCGACGACGAGGAGAAGGACGAGAACGACGAAUGGCUCCUUCAUCGACUUCCUCUCCUCGUUUCUCCUAUCGAGACCUUGUGUGUCUUUUCGACAUUGGUGGUUA